AUUUGAUGUUGGGGGCACUUGAUGCACAACUUCUUGAAUCGCUUCCAGUAAUCAUAGAGUGACUUCUUUGGUUGCUACUUGAUACCACAGAUCUUCUUUCUUAAACU